UGGAUUCGCUAGUAAUCGCGCAUCAGCCACGGCGCGGUGAAUACGUUCCCGGGCCCUUGUACACACCGCCCGUCAAGCCAUGGAAGCCGGGAGUGCCUGAAGUGCGUGAGCGCAAGCAGCGCCCUAAGGUAAAACCGGUGACUGGGGCUAAGUCGUAACAAGGUAUC
rnacentral:rRNA from 1 species